rnacentral:rRNA from 1 species
UACGUAGGUGACCAGCGUUGUCCGGAUUUACUGGGCGUAAAGAGCGCGCAGGCGGUCGUUCAAGUCGAGUGUGAAAGCCCCCGGCUCAACUGGGGAGGGUCACUCGAUACUGAUCGACUUGAAGGCAGGAGAGGGAAGCGGAAUUCCCGGUGUAGUGGUGAAAUGCGUAGAUAUCGAGAGGAACACCUGCGGCGAAGGCGGGUUGCUGGGCUGACACUGACGCUGAAGUGCGAAAGCUAGGGGAGCGAACGGG